rnacentral:rRNA from 1 species
UAGUGAGUUUGAUCCUGGCUCAGGAUGAACGCUGGCGGCAUGCCUAACACAUGCAAGUCGAACGAAGCCUUCGGGCUUAGUGGCGCACGGGUGCGUAACGCGUGGGAAUCUGCCCUUGGGUUCGGAAUAACAGUUAGAAAUGACUGCUAAUACCGGAUGAUGUCUUCGGACCAAAGAUUUUAUCGGCCAAAGGACGAGCCCGCGUAGGAUUAGCUUGUUGGUAGGGU